UACGAAGGGUGCAAACGUUAUUCGGAAUCACUGGGCGUAAAGGGUGCGUAGAUGGUAUGUUAAGUUCGUCGUUAAAGCCUCCAGCCUAACUGGAGUAUUGCGAUGAAAACUGGCGCACUAGAGGGUGAGAGAGAGAAGUGGAAUUCCUGGAGUAGCGGUAAAAUGCGUGGAUCUCAGGAGGAACACCAAUGGCGAAGGCAGCUUCUUGGCUCAUUCCUGACAUUGAGGCACGAAAGCGUGGGGAGCAAACAGG
rnacentral:rRNA from 1 species